rnacentral:rRNA from 1 species
GACGAACGCUGGCGGCGUGCUUAACACAUGCAAGUCGAACGGAAAGGCCCUGCUUUUGUGGGGUGCUCGAGUUGCGAACGGGUGAGUAACACGUGAGUAACCUGCCCUUGACUUUGGGAUAACUUCAGGAAACUGGGGCUAAUACCGGAUAGGAGCUCCUGCUGCAUGGUGGGGGUUGGAAAGUUUCGGCGGUUGGGGAUGGACUCACGGCUUAUCAGCUUGUUGGUGGGGGAGUGGCUUACCAAGGCUUUGACGGGUAGCCGGCCUGAGAGGGUGACCGGGCACAUUGGGACUGAAAUACGGACCAGACUCCUACGGGAGGCAGCAGUGGGGAAUAUUGCACAAUGGGCGGAAGCCUGAUGCGACAACGCCGCGUGCGGGAUGACGGGUUUCGGGUUGUAAACCGCUUUCGCCUGUGACGAAGCGUGAGUGACGGUAAUGGGUAAAGAAGCACCGGCUAACUACGUG